UACGUAGGGGGCAAGCGUUGUCCGGAGUUACUGGGCGUAAAGCGCACGCAGGCGGUCUGCUAAGUUUGGAGUGACAGUUGGUGGCUCAACUACCAAAGUGCUUUGAAAACUGACAGACUUGAGGACUUCAGAGGGACACGGAAUUCCGGGUGGAGUGGUGAAAUGCGUAGAGAUCCGGAGGAACACCAAAGGCGAAGGCAGUGUCCUGGGGAGUACCUGACGCUGAGGAGCGAAAGUGGUGGGGAGCGAACAGG
rnacentral:rRNA from 1 species